AAAUGUGAGGGCCAUCUGGCUGCGACAUCUGUCACCCCACUGAUCGGCAGGGUUGAUCCGGCUGAUCUGGCUGGCUGGGAGGGUGUCCCCUUCCUUCCCCACCUCUCCACAUGUGUCCCUCCCCCCUCCCGCAGCUGUGUGUUGGGUCAAAGAGGACUUUCCCCACUGGGGGAGGAACUAUCUUCGGUCAAGGGUAUGGGAGUAGCUGCACUCCCCUGCCGGAACCUCCAAACAAACUCUCAAGAAACAGGUACUUAACCAAAUGCACUGACAUCCUAAAUCCAUCUUUUA
rnacentral:snRNA from 1 species